GGGGUGUGCUCAGAGCACGGGGCAUGGGUGUUUACAAUACACCCAACAAGAAUCUAGGGUCAUUGUAAUGAGGGGCACAAAACUGGUGAUCUUCCUAUGAACAAAUGUCCUACACAU
rnacentral:snoRNA from 1 species